rnacentral:rRNA from 1 species
UACGUAGGGUGCAAGCGUUGUCCGGAAUUAUUGGGCGUAAAGAGCUCGUAGGCGGUUUGUCGCGUCUGCUGUGAAAACUCGGGGCUUAACCCCGGGCCUGCAGUGGGUACGGGCAGACUAGAGUGCGGUAGGGGAGACUGGAAUUCCUGGUGUAGCGGUGAAAUGCGCAGAUAUCAGGAGGAACACCGGUGGCGAAGGCGGGUCUCUGGGCAAUAACUGACGCUGAGGAGCGAAAGCGUGGGGAGCGAACAGG